UUACGGCCACAUCACAUUGAAACGCCAUUUCCCAUACAAUCACUAAAGUUAAGUAAUAUCGAGCCUGGUCAGUACCUAGAUGGGUGACCACUUGGGGAUACCAGAUGCUGUAAG